CUUUUAUGAAUGAUUCUCCUUUCUACUUUCUCCAGUCAAUAUUUUAUUUCACAGCAACCACAAAUGCAUGGCAGAAGCAAGACAGCACAACUUCUGCACCACUGAAUGCAACACAGGAAAUUGAGGUAAAUGACAGCAAUGACCAAUUCAGUACUGAAACAACACAGCCAUGUCACUCCAGGAAAGAAGAGAAAACAUGACACUCAUGAUGGCAGAAUGGGACCUUCACUUGUGGAGCAGCUAUGGUGGGAGCAGAGGAGGGCCAAAAGUGAGUUCAGUCCUGAUAAAAGCAUUUAAUUUCCACAUACUCUCACUGGAAGAAGUUUGGUUUCUCUGCAGAUGCCCAGAGAAGAGACUGAGUUCACUUCAUUUGUGCACAUAUUUCACUGUUGAUGAAUCAAACCAACAUGAAAUGUUUGCCAGUACAUUGCCCUUGGAGCUAUCUUCCAAUAGACAUCGGAGCUGGGUGAUGAUUAUUGAAAGGUGUUUGGGAGAAGAGGUUCACUCCGGAGUAGCUUGGAAGUCAUGGAAAAAAUGA
rnacentral:lncRNA from 1 species